UUGUACGCGGAGCUGGCUGAACUCCCCUUACAAUAUUACAUGGUGAAGCAGAUCCUCCGUUUCUGGAACCGCCUUCAAAAGCAAGUGGGAUCCAUUGCUCAUGCAGUUUUACGGCAGGAGAUAACCGAUACCCUGACCAACCCGGAAUGGGAGGGUUGGGGAAUCUCAAUGUUACGACUGUUUUCCUUCUUGGAGUGCAACAUUUGGAGCGGAAUACCGCAAGAAGUCGUGGG
rnacentral:lncRNA from 1 species